AGGACGUACGCUGGCGGCGCGCUUAACACAUGCAAGUCGAGCGAGAACCAGACCUUCGGGUCUGGGGACAGCGGCGAACGGGUGAGUAACACGUGGGUAAUCAACCCUUGACACUGGGAUAGCCCGGGGAAACCCGGAUUAAUACCGGAUGGCCCUUUGGAUCCUCGGAUCUGAAGGAAAAGGUAGCUUCGGCCUCCGGUCAAGGACGAGCCCGCGGCGGAUUAGCUUGUUGGUGAGGUAACGGCCCACCAAGGCGACGAUCCGUAGCUGGUCUGAGAGGACGAUCAGCCACACUGGGACUGAGACACGGCCCAGACUCCUACGGGAGGCAGCAGUGGGGAAUCUUGCGCUAAUGCGGGAAACCGUGACGCAGCGACGCCGCGUGAGGGAAGAAGGCCUUCGGGUUGUAAACCUCUUUCAGGAGGGACGAAGCCACUCGGGUUAAUAGCCCAGAGGGUGACGGUACCUCCAGAAGAAGCCCCGGCUAACUACGUGCCAGCAGCCGC
rnacentral:rRNA from 1 species